rnacentral:lncRNA from 1 species
UUUUAGAAUACUGUACUAUUGUCAGUUACUUGUCUUCUCAAAAAUGUGGGCUUUAUUGUCAGAAUCUUCUGUUUAGGCACCGACCAAAAACUCAGUUUUCCUAAUUUGACAUCAGGUCCCUUUUGCAGAUUGCAUCAAUUUAUAACUGAAAAUGUUAAAUGUACAGUUUGUGUGUUUCUUACACCCUAAAAAAAUCUUGAUUUGAUGCAUUAUUCUCAUGAAAUACUUAAAAAAAAAAAAAAUUACACCUGCCCCAAAGGCUUUUUAUUGUCACGAUUUUUUGAGAAAAUGAAGAGCCAUGAUUCAAAUUAAGGAUACUCUUCAAAUAGAGUUCUUUUUCAGGAUUUAUACAAUAAAUUAAGAAAAAAAAAACAAAGGGAUCGUUGAUGACCUGAGAUUGCUCUAUUCCUAUCAGAGAGUUGAUUUCACUGAUGAUCUCUCAGUUUGAUUUUAUAAAAGCAUCAGGAUAUUGACUUAUUUUUUUUAUCGAAUAGGCGCAAAACAAGCCUCAAAUGACAUCAUCAAAUGAAGUCCACCCGUGGCUUUUGCUGUUGUCCAAGGAAGGUGACUUGGCUAAAGACUUUGAAUCUCCUCUUCCAUCCGAAUAUCAUCAACAGGACCUGAAAAGUCACGAAUCAGCUUCAUCAUCCCCGGCAGCAACUCCUGAAUUAAAAUUUGAUUCGUCUCCUGUGAUCCUCCCUCCCACCACGCCUCUUUCCACCCCUACGCCCCCACCCCAAAUCUCAGGGAGCUCUCGUUCAACCCCCAAUAUCUUCUCUCCGGUGCCUUCUUCCAUCUCCAAAACCUCCUUCCACCGGUCCUCAUCCCUGGACCAGUCACUGUGCCUUUGUCAGCCCUCUCAGGCGAGUCCGAUGCUCCAGUAGGUGAUUUUUCGAACAUCUCCAACGAGCCGCUAGAAGUGACUGCCCUCCCGACGGAACCAAUAGCCACCCCAAGUCCUCCGCCUAUUCGACCUUCUCCUGGCAGGCUACCUCCAAUGCUACCGAGUCUGUGCCGCUAUCACAACCAAACUCGUCUGAAAACUCAGCAAGUGUUCACUCACCGCCCUCAUCUACAAUAUCCCUCCGACGACAAGCCAACAAUCAGGAAUGUCGAUGUUCUUCCCGUCAGUAGCUUGCAUCAGGAUUUAGCGGACUCUCCUCAGGUGCAUCUACAUUGCCGCCCAGCAGCAAUGAAAGUCAGCUCAAAUCGGAAAGAAGCCUCUCCCUCAACUGCUUUCUCCCCGUUGAGGAGCGAUGAUGAAAAGUGACUCACCAGUCCCUACGGUGAGUAGCGUCGGCCCACCCCUAGAAUGCAACCAUCACCAGGGGUUUCUAUUUUCACCCCAGCAAGCAGUGACGUAAACUUAACGAAAUAAGAAACGCAGCUCCUCCGACCAGUGACAUCGGCCCUCCGCCUAAAUCUGCAUUUCAACCACCAUCCGGCAUUUCAAUUUUCCCCCGACUAGAAGUAACAUAAUCCCGAUGAUUCCGAAGGGCGUACUGAUAUCGGCCCACCACCCAAACCUGCGUUUCAGCCACAACCGGAAUUUCAAUUUUCACUCCGGCGUACGACGAUGUAAACCUGAAACACCUCAGAGUCUAGCGAUGUAGGGCCCUCCACCUAAAUCGGUGGUUCAACACCAUCUGGAGUCUCAAUUUUCAACCCUGCAAAUAGUGGACGUAAACCUCAACUCAGAGAGGAGGACGCAACCCAAUGAUAUCGGCCCUCCACCCAAAGCCACAAGCCAGCCACCACCUUCAAUUUUUAACUCAGGCUAUACUGAUAUCAAUCUGAAUGACUCAGCAAGAAACAGCAGUCCGUCGCCGAAACCCACAAUGCAACCACCAACAGGAAUUUCAAUUUUCACCCCGGCAAAUAACGACAUAAACCUAAAUGAUUCAGAAAGAGGUUCCUCCGCCUGUGGACAUUGCUUCUACACCAGUCUUUACGACAAACCAGCCCAAAUCAGAGGCAGAUGCCCCACCCAGCAUCAUGGGCCCACCGCCCACCAAAACGAAACCGCUAGCAGGAAUGUCGAUUUUUUCAUCUGCCAGCAGUGAUACGAAUUCAACUAAAUCAGAUACGAAUCCUUACGGCCUUCGGGCUCAUUAGGUGCAAAUAAGUUGCAUCCGGAGUGUCCAUAUUCACACCAGCAAGCAUUACAACGAUGAAAAAGUGUCAGAGCCAUCAACGAUUCAUCCUCAGCCCAAACGGUAUUCUUCCUCAAGUAGCUCGCCUCCUCAAAUUGGAAUCAGUUGUAUUCACGCCUGUCAAAAAUCGACCCUGUCAGAUGCCUUCGCUUUGCCCAAUAACACUACUCCACCUGGUGUUUCAAUAUUCACGCCUCCAGAACCGAGCAAAAUGAAACCAAAAUGUCUCAGAACCAGUCCAGUUAUCAUACGAAUGGCACAGCCCCUCAGCAGAGUAACCCUAUAAUUUCAUUUUUCAACCCUUUAAGUAGCGGAAAACAGAGUCAGUCAGAGAGCCAGCCGAGUAGUUGUUUUGUCAAAUGUCUUGUUCUCUCCCCCAAAACCAACCAAGCGUUUCAGUUCAAUCCUCUGAACAGGAUAAACGAAGGGGUCUCAACCGAGUAGUGUUGGUCGAACGGCAUAUAUUCUUCUUCAAAACCCAUCAGCGUAGCAGAUUUCAUCCCUCAGAACAGUGCUAAUCAAAGCCAGUAUGGAGCGUUAGCCUCGAGUCAGUCUAAUUCUUUAUUCUCUCCUGCUUCUCAACAACAGUCGCAUUCCACACAGC